AGGGACUCAAUUUCCCGCCGGACAGAAGAAAACUCCCUAACCUCCUCCGUCAGGCGAGCCUUCUCAACCUCCAAGGCCUCGUUCUCCUUCUUCAGAGCACCAAUAGCCUCGUCACGGCAAAUAACCUCCCGGGAGCAGCGCUCCUCCAAGGCGGCAGCCAUAUGAUGACCCUGCUCAAAAAAUAAGUCACAACCAACCUCCGAGCAAAAAACGACGAAGGAAAAUAUAACACAUCGCAAACUUACAAGGCUAUGGUGCUCAUAUUGCACGCGGAGUAGCGUGUCAAAGUCCAUGUUGCGAAGCUUCUGACGAAAACGAUCUGUAAAUCAAAAACAAGUAAGAAAAAAAAUCGUAAGAACCAAAAACCCAUUAGCGGAGGACAGACUACGAACCUCCGACCAAAGAAUGAACCUCGCGCAAGGCAUCAGUCCAACCUGUGAUCGAAGGAUCAGAAGCACCUGCGCAAAACCAAAACUAACCUUAGAAUAAAAUAUCAAAAAACAAACCAA
rnacentral:lncRNA from 1 species